GCCAGUAACUUGACGCUAGCGUACUAUAAAAUAAUAUUGGAAAAGUGCGAUUUUGGGAUAAUAAUCGCCUAAAACGCAAACUGCUUAGGAAGAUUAUGGAAUUUUGUGACAAAACGUGAAAGAAAUAAGUUGUUAUUUUGGCAUUCAGUUCUCAAGUGAGGAUUAUGUUGCAAGUGUCUUGUGUUAUGUAGUUUUAGUAUGUUGGAUUAGAUUUUAGUGGCUACUUGUUGCAGUAGCAUGUUAAACUUUGUUUGUUAAAUUCUAUUACGUUUUUAUUAUGAUUGGUUGGUUUUUGUAAGGGUGCUCUAUUAAACAUUGAUCACAACUUCUUCAGCUUAAUUGUUUAGUAUACCAAUAUUUAUAGAGAAAUUAGCAUUUCUUCUAUUGCUGUUAUUUUGUACAUAUUUUUCACUCAGAAAUGUCUUUAUCAAAAUAAGUUUCCAAUGUUAUUCAAUUCUCAAA